rnacentral:rRNA from 1 species
UGGGGAAUAUUGCACAAUAGGCGAAAGCCUGAUGCAGCGACGCCGCGUGAGGGAUGACGGCCUUCGGGUUGUAAACCUCUUUCAGCAGGGAAGAAGCGAAAGUGACGGUACCUGCAGAAGAAGCGCCGGCUAACUACGUGCCAGCAGCCGCGGUAAUACGUAGGGCGCAAGCGUUGUCCGGAAUUAUUGGGCGUAAAGAGCUCGUAGGCGGUUAGUCGCGUCUGCUGUGAAAACUCGAGGCUCAACCUCGGGCUUGCAGUGGGUACGGGCUGACUAGAGUGCGGUAGGGGUGACUGGAAUUCCUGGUGUAGCGGUGGAAUGCGCAGAUAUCAGGAGGAACACCGAUGGCGAAGGCAGGUCACUGGGCCGCAACUGACGCUGAGGAGCGAAAGCAUGGGGAGCGAACAGGAUUAGAUACCCUGGUAGUCCAUGCCGUAAACGUUGGGCACUAGGUGUGGGGUCCAUUCCACGGAUUCCGUGCCGCAGCAAACGCAUUAAGUGCCCCGCCUGGGGAGUACGGCCGCAAGGCUAAAACUCAAAUGAA